rnacentral:lncRNA from 1 species
AUGAAGCAAGAAAUUUCAAGUACGUAACGAAGUUCUCGAGAAGAUUGGCUGGAGGUGGAAAUAGGAGAAGCAAUAAAAGUCCACCGAGUGAAAUCAAUAUUCAGCUGCUUUGGUGUUAAUUUUUGCUGAAGUGGGAAUUAUCAUACCCACCGUAUUGUUUGAGGUACUACGCGCUCUGAUAUAUUUUUAGACAUUCCUAGGACAUUCUUUUAACAACCUUCAUUACUUAGUGAUCUGAGUUGUGUUCAAGUGUAUUCUUUUAACAACCUUCAUUACUUAAUGAUCUGAGUUGUGUUCAAGUGUUUUGUUAACUUCUUUCAGGUUACAUAUAAAUUUCGAUCAACUUACAGUGCGUUGGUUGUUGCAACGUAAUUUAGUAUAUUAAUAUGAAGUUCUUUUGUCGUAUUUAUUUAUCAUGCGUGACAACUCAUUAGAUUCGAUAAUAUGUUAGUAUUUGUUAUCAAUUAAAAAAAGAUUAGGAAAUAUUGUUAGUUCACAUAAUAUCUUUGAAUAAUUGAGAUGAACAAAGAACUGUCAAAGAAAAGAUAAAUGCCUCAAUUCCAUUUGAUAUGUCCUUGGUUCUUUACCUCAGUUUUCAUGGCAUUUGAUAUUUCCUUAGCCUCAAUUUUCAUGGCAUUGCAGAUUUCGCAGGUUUCUCGAAUUUAUAAUUAUGUUUUUCUCCUUUACACGUCCAGUUUUGUCUUGCUAUUUUCUUUUAAUUUUUGAUACUCUUGUUGCUUCUUCCCAGUCAGUGAGGUUAUCAUUUUUCCUUCAUGUAGGUUCUUAAGAAGGAAUUUAUUCUGUUAAUGUAAGAAAUGCUAACAACUAAGGUGGUCAAACAUCAAAAUAUUUUCGGUUUAUUUUUUUAUGAUGUCAUAGUAUUCUUCAAAGAACAAUUCUGCUUUAAGGGUGUUUAAACUGUUUCUUUGCUUCAGUAUGUAAUUGGUGGAGCACCUACCUUCAGACAUACGGUUUAUUACUGAAUUUAUUGUUGGAGAUUGUCUUUCUAGAAACCUAUCUUAUGGGAAGGCAAAAGGAGCUUGGAGGCAGAGAUGACAAUAGCCAAUGAAGCUACUAACAGGUAGGUUUAUAGUGUCUUAAUGGAUGAUAUAAAUUAAAUAUUUCAAAUCAAUUCCCUUGAUAUAUAUUCGGGAUAAAUUAUCUUCAUGAACAAAUUAGACCAUGUGUAAUCCAUUGUGAAAUAAAGAGAGAGAGCAACAAGGGUGUUGUUAGUACUUCAUUAUUUAUAGUUCACUCUUUUGUCUCUUUCCAUGUAAGUUAAAGUGUUGAGAUUAUUGUAUUAUUUGCUAUUUUAGUUCUAUCUGUAGAGAGAUUUGGGAGAAUUAAUUUUCUCGUAUUGUUCACAAAAGUAUAUAUAGAGUACAGAGAG